CAUAUUUUUCGUCUUCUAUCAUCUCAGGCAAGCAAAGUUUCUUCUUUGUUUACUGUAAAACUUGCAAGAAACUAACACGAGGAAAAUUGCGAUGUCGAUGUUCAAAUUGCAAGGAAGGAUGCUUUGUUCUAUCAAAGGGUCCAAAUGGUUGGGACGAUGCAUUGACCAAAAGCUGCAUGCAGGGACAAUGUGAAUCCAAUACAAACUGUCAGGGAACAACAGCUGAAUUUUAUUUCAAAUGUGGGGAACAUCAUGGUAGAGAUGAACAAGCAACAUUAUCAAUGUUGAAAUCUAACAUCAGAAAUAUACCCUGCAUCACAUGCUCUGAAAUAUUAUAAUGCGGUUGAAUGUUUUAAACUUGGUCAGCUUUGCAGCUUAAAUGGUAGAAAUUCAAUCCGUGGAUGUGACAGUCAGGGCUGUGGUGAUUUCGGAGCACCAAGAGGCUCUCGUACACACAAUGGUGUCGACAUAAUUUGCAAACCAGGGAGUUCUGUCAUGACACCAUUUGCUGCGAAGAUUUGACGAAAAUCACGUUCUUAUUCAAACAAUAACAAACCAUAUAACCAUGGAUUGUAUAUUCAAGGAACCUGAUAAGCCGAAGAUAUAAAAUGGAUAUUUCAAGUGGUCUUGGAAGAUCUGCUGGAAAGAUAUGGCGUUGUUGGUCUGAUGGGGUUGAACAGUACAAAAGAUAAUGUAAAUCUUUUACUAAAAGCCUUCAAGGACGCGAUGGAAAACGUGAAAUUACAAAACAAUCUGUGAGCAAACUUGAAACAAGAAUUUUAUUUUACUUAACAAACCAAUUUAUAUUAGUUAA